rnacentral:lncRNA from 1 species
GGCAUAACGGCAAUAAGGCAAGCCCACAUGGUUAACUUAUGAAUAUCACUGGAAACCUCAUACCUUCUGGUUAAACCAAACUCUACCUUUGAUAUCUUAAGUAAAAUAAAUCUUUACAUUUCACAAAUGCACAUGAUAGUAAAGUAACGUUGAGUCAAGCCAUGAUUUAAUACAGGAAACCUAGCCGGCCAUUGAGGCGGCGAUCAUUGAAAAAAAAAUAAAAAUAAAGGACUUGAAAAUGAAAGCAAGAGUACCUUAAAGAACACCAAGAACUUCAAACCAACUUUUAUUCCACACGAUAAUUAUACAAGAGA